AUCUGCGCCCUUUGGCUUUGCUGCAAAAUUUCUUGUUGGUUUUCAAUUUACGUUCAGUUAUCCAGUGCACAGAAGUAAGAACAAAAACUUUUGAACAAGUAUUUGGCUUAGUAAUUUUACAACCCGUAAAUUCGUAAAGGAACAGAAGAAACUGACUAUGCCUUCCAAGAUGGCUUCGUUAGGAGAUGACCAGAUGGCAGACUUCCGAGACUCGUUUCAUUUAUUCGACAGACUAGGAGAUGGGAGAGUAGAGGCGUAAAGUGUGGGCCCGUUAGCCAAGGGCACUGGGUUUGAACCCGACAGAGUAUGACGUGGAUCGGGUGUCUGGAUUCAGACAGGACCCAACAAGACGGAUUACGUUUGAGCAGUUUGUGCCCAUGUAUAUGGCUCUGCGGGACAAAAGUGUCUCGAGUAGCGCCGCCACUGACUUCCACGAGGGCUUCAAAGUGUUCGACAAGGAUGGCAACGGACGUAUCUCCAGCAUAGAACUGAAACAC